rnacentral:rRNA from 1 species
AUUCCAGCUCCAAUAGCAUAUAUUUAAGUCGUUGCAGUUAAAAAGCUCGUAGUUGGAUCUUGGGUCGUAAGGGCCAGUCCGCCUACUCGGUGUGCACCUGCCCUUCCAUCCCUUUUGUCUGCGGCGUUCUCCUGGCCUUAAUUGGCUGGGUCGCAGUUCCGGCGUUGUUACUUUGAAAAAAUUAGAGUGCUCAAAGCAAGCUUAUGCUCUGAAUACAUUAGCAUGGAAUAACGUGAUAGGAGUCUAGUCCUAUCGUGUUGGCCUUCGGGACCGGAGUAAUGAUUAAUAGGGACUGUCGGGGGCAUUCGUAUUUCAUUGUCAGAGGUGAAAUUCUUGGAUUUAUGAAAGACGGACCACUGCGAAAGCAUUUUCCAAGGAUGUUUUCAUUA